AGUCCACUUUAAAAAUCAACAUGUUCAGUCAGCCCCAUCCAAAAAACACAUAACAAAAAAAACAACUGCUUCAAGUUACUUUGCAAGUCAACACUAGCAACUAUUUAAAUUUUGAAUCAUUUUCAACUAUUAUAAAACCACUCUCUCCUCUUUUUAAGGGCCAUAAUUAAGUUCCCAAUUCCUCAUCUAGGCUGCCAAACACAACUAUAAAAGAAAUGUAAAAUUCAGGUUUGAAAAUCUAGUAAGUUAGAAUCCAAAUCCAUGCAGCCAAACGACACCUA